AGUAACGGCGAGUGAAGCGGUAAUAGCUCAAAUUUGAAAUCUGGCCUCUCGGGGUCCGAGUUGUAAUUUGUAGAGGGUGUUUUGGGUACCGCCCCGGUCUAAAUUUCUUGGAACAGAAUGUCAAAGAGGGUGAGAAUCCCGUCUUGGACCGGCGGUAGGGCCUGUGUAAAACUCCUUCGACGAGUCGAGUUGUUUGGGA
rnacentral:rRNA from 1 species